CAGAGAUAUAGUUUAAGUAAAAUAUUACUUUUGGGGAGUAAAGAUCUUUGUCUUAUAAGUGUUCUGG
rnacentral:tRNA from 1 species